GAUGAACGCUGGCGGCGUGCCUAAUACAUGCAAGUCGAGCGAAUGGAUUAAGAGCUUGCUCUUAUGAAGUUAGCGGCGGACGGGUGAGUAACACGUGGGUAACCUGCCCAUAAGACUGGGAUAACUCCGGGAAACCGGGGCUAAUACCGGAUAAUAUUUUGAACUGCAUGGUUCAAAAUUGAAAGGCGGCUUCGGCUGUCACUUAUGGAUGGACCCGCGUCGCAUUAGCUAGUUGGUGAGGUAACGGCCCACCAAGGCAACGAUGCGUAGCCGACCUGAGAGGGUGAUCGGCCACACUGGAACUGAGACACGGCCCAGACGCCUACGGGAGGCAGCAGUAGGUAAUCUUCCGCAAUGGACGAAAGUCUGACGGAGCAACGCCGCGUGAGUGAUGAAGGCUUUCGGGUCGUAAAACUCUGUUGUUAGGGAAGAACAAGUGCUAGUUGAAUAAGCUGGCACCUUGACGGUACCUAACCAGAAAGCCACGGCUAACUACGUGCCAGCCGCCGCUGUAA
rnacentral:rRNA from 1 species